rnacentral:lncRNA from 1 species
AGACAACAUGCUCUACUGGCUGCCCUUCUUGUGGGAAAAAGUGAUCGAGUUCCCACAAGCUUGGCUGGUUUCCAGGACCACUGCCAGUAGGUACUUAAGACCUGACGACAACAAACUGGACUGCUAUUUCUGCUACCUUUAGGCUUUUAGGGUUUCUUGGAUGUUACAGAUAUUAUCUUAAGUACAGCAUGAGUGGAAAAGUAAAAUUUGUGGAAAAGAAGUUCAGCAGCUCCCUGGAUUCCAGUUUUAUG